AUCGCUAUAAUCAACGAUUAGGGCUGAAAAAUUGCUAAAAUCGCUAAUGAAAGUCGCUACAAUUGCUACAAACGAUUAAAUCUUGUGGAGUUGAUCUGGUAGUGAGCUACCUGUGGUGAGCUCUGUGGGAUUUACUGGUGCCGCUUUGAAAAUCGAUUUGUGUUGGAAAGUCAGAUUGAGUUUGCACUUCAAUUUCUCUUAAAUUUUCACUUCAAUUGCUUCAAUUUGGGAAUUUUAAGGUUGCUAGCUUUAGUGGCUCAAACAUUGAUUUGUCUGCCUGGGAGGACAAAAAGAACCCUAUUGAAUCUCGCUUUCUUGCUCAGAAUGAGUUUGAAAGAAAGAAACAAGAAAUAUUAGUUGCUCAAAGUGCAUCAAUUAUGGAAGGAGGAUGAGAAAGAAAUUACACUUCUUGAUGAAGCAUGUAUACAAGAAAUCAUCUUCAAAUGAUAAACGCCCAUCUCAAGAAGACAACCAAGCUUAUGAGGAUGAAAGUGAUGCUAAAUCUGACGACGUGAAUGAAAUUGAUAAUUCUGAUAACGUGAAUGAAAGUGAUCUGAUCCUGAUGGUUGGUAGUUUUAUUGAGGAUUCAAGUUUAAAAUAUUUUAUUUUGGACUAUUUAAAAAUCAUACAUUAAUAAUUGAUGUGUAUGUUUUGAAUUAUGUUUUUUUUGUUAGCUAUAAGGGUUUACAUUAGAUUUGUAUUGAAUGAUGUUUUUGAGAAUUAUUGAA